rnacentral:tRNA from 1 species
GCACUCGUAGCUCAACGGAUAGAGCAUCUGACUACGGAUCAGAAGGUUGUGGGUUCGAAUCCCGCCGAGUGCA